rnacentral:lncRNA from 10 species
GCAGGGACAGGGUCCUGCUGUGUUGCCCAGGCUGGCCUUGAACUCCUGGCUUCAAACAGUCUUCCCACUUGGGCUCCCAAAGUGCUGGGAUUAAAGGGGCGAGUUACAGCACCAGGACCUGAAAUGUGACACCCCUGCUCCCCAUUCACCCUCCGCUAUCAGUAAAAGCUUCCUCAGACCUCACCAGAAGCUGGACAGAUAGAUGCUGGUGCCAAGCUUGUACAGACUGCAGAACCAUGGGCCAAAUAAACCUCUUUUCUUUAUAAAUUGCUCAGCCUCAGGGGUCCCUUUAUAGCAAUGCGAGAAUAGACUAACACAGCAACCCAGAAGUUUGUGGAGUGAAAUCUAAAGCAGUGCUUUUAAAAGUGAGAUCCUAGGACCAGCACCACCUGUACCACAUGCAUCACCUGGGAACCUGUUAGAAAAGCAAAGCCUCAGGCUCCAUCCCAGACCACCUCAGGCAGAAGCUCUGGGGGUGGGGUCCAGGAAUCUGAGAUUUAACAAGCUCUCCAGGUGAUGCUGAUGCAUGUUCAGUUUGAAAACAAUGGACCCAGAGAGCCUCUAAAGUGCAACCUGCCCUGACAAUUUUAGUCCAAAAUCUUGCAUGGGUAAUUUAAUCUCUACAUCCUG